rnacentral:rRNA from 1 species
UACGUAGGGGGCAAGCGUUGUCCGGAAUCAUUGGGCGUAAAGAGCGUGUAGGCGGUCCGGUAAGUCCGCUGUGAAAGUCCAGGGCUCAACCCUGGAAUGCCGGUGGAUACUGCCGGGCUAGAGUCCGGAAGAGGAGAGUGGAAUUUCCGGUGUAGCGGUGAAAUGCGCAGAUAUCGGGAAGAACACCCGUGGCGAAGGCGGCUCUCUGGGACGGUACUGACGCUGAGACGCGAAAGCGUGGGGAGCGAACAGG